GAUCGCAUCACGUUGAAACACCUGUUCUCGUAUGAUCACCGUAGUUAAACAACGUCGAGCCUGGUCAGUACUUAUAUGGGUGACCGCUUGGGAAUACCAGUUGC